UUGUCAUGGAAACGCAUCACUCCCACACCUGUCCGCUAGCCAAAAAACCUCAACUUCAAAUGAACAAAUCACUGGGUGGGAGUGGAGGAAGGGAGGUGUUGGGAGCUAAAAACUUGGAUCACUGCAGCCCCCCUGGUCGCUUUAACCUCAUUAUUUAUUUACAACUAAACACUAAUGCGACUUGCUGCUCUUGGUUUUCGGCACAACAAACACAAAAAACGUCUGGGAGGAAUUCAGUUCCACCCAGAAGCCUGCAGACCUCUCCUGGUGUGCCAGAACAGACCACCUCCUCCCUUUUCAAACGAGGACGACUGCAACAAGCAGCAAGACAGCCACAGACUGCCACGCUCUAAAAUUCAUUUUGGUCUGCCCUCGCUUGUAGUGUUCCUGAGGGAAUGCAUUUGCUCAAUUGCUUCUUACAGCACUAAGGGAAAUUAUUUUUUUUAUUGAAACCAUGCAGGUACUGUGAAUGAAAACAGGAGAGAGGCUGCUGUGCCAAAGCUGUAAGGUACCCAGUAUGGUGAAGGCACUGCAUUGCACCAAACCCAAGAGAAGAGGGACAGAGAGAGAAAGGGAGGGGGGGGAGAAAGAGAAACAAAGAGACAGAGGGAGAGAGGAGGGGGUGAUAGAGCAAGUACAAGAUUAACCAGGAGAGAAAAAAAGAGGGGGAGAGAAACAGAAGGAAGGGGAAAGAGAGAAAGAGAGAGAGAUGGAGGAUCACUUUGGAAGGAUUUCUCCCCGACUGACUGUAGUAGAUAUCAAAGGGGGGCGUGGGACUAUGGCCAGAUUCCAGAACAUUCUCUCUUUCUUGCCUUUUGAUUAAUCUGCACGGAAUCAUUUUUGCAGUUACACUACCUACACAAUCAUUUUUUCACAUCAAUCUUGUCUUCUUCUGUUAAUCUAGAGCAUGUCUAGAUGGUGCACUACACAGAUCUGCCAGAGGGACCAAGCUGAGAAUAGAGCAGACAGAGAGCCUGUUGCCAUUAUGCCCACCCUUUUUAGUUUGACUGUUCACCACUGUGUACCACAUGGAAAAUGAUUGGCGGUAACAUUUCAGGAGAAUCACAUUCCCUCAGAAUUAAGCACUACUUCAGCUGGCGCGCUGAGGGGAAAGACGGCUGUAGCAGUGCUGGACGGUUCGGAGGUGGACAAGCUAAAAUAAAACCACAUGGAUCAAUCCUGUGCACCUGGAUAUAGCCGUAACCAGGAUUCCAGGAAACUGCAUUUAUAUCAGUCAACAAGGCAACUCCACAUGGUCACUUGCUGUCUAUCAACAUGCUAAAUACAAGUUCACUUAGAGUCUACCAACACACAAAUUCUACAGGUUGAAAGAAGAGAGAUUGAGAAGGGACCACAGCUGAGGAAGACCACGGCGGAGGACCAAAUCCUUGCCUGCACAAGGGGACCUGUUCUCGGUCGAAGAGUUGGCCGCCCCACAGACCAUGUCACUUGCCCCACCAUGAAUGACAAGCUUUGAUUCUACUGAUGACAAUUAAAAGUAACUCAGCAUCGGGGAAGCUAAAUGCUAGGUCGUGAUAAAGCUAGCUUGUAGCUAUCCAGCAGAGAGUUUCUGUCAUUGAAACACCAUCUUUAGAAAUGUUUCCCUCCUCAGAACUAGGGACUGUGUUCAGCAGGUUGUCAUUGAUUGAAACGCUUCCUUAAAUCUCCUGAAGUGCUCUGAUGACAUUUCAGGUAAAACACAACCCCUGGGUCUGAAGAGGGAAACAUAUUAGAAGAUGUGCGUUACUUAGAUCCAUUGAAUCUGUAAGUGGGAAAUUUACAGUUAAUCUGUGCCUAAGAAAGCUAAACACUGGGUGUGGCUUGUUUUUGAGCCAGCUACCUUGUAUGCAGCCAUGAAGGCCUCUUAUCAGGCUCUCUGAGGAAUUCUGGGGACUCUGUUUGAAGGUCAUGUCCACUUUUCUUUUCUUUUUUUCAUACAUCUCUCAAUGCAGCAUAUUUUAAUCAUCACUGCAAUGUUUGUAGAGGAAAAUCGUAAUUAAAUGUACAGUAUGUACCAU